rnacentral:rRNA from 1 species
UACGGAGGGUGCAACCGUUGCCCGGAAUCAUUGGGCGUAAAGCGCACGUAGGCGGCUCGUUAAGUCGGAUGUGAAAUCCCUGGGCUCAACCCAGGAAGUGCAUUCGAAACUGGCGAGCUUGAAUAUGGAAGAGGGUCGCGGAAUUCCCGGUGUAGAGGUGAAAUUCGUAGAUAUCGGGAGGAACACCAGUGGCGAAGGCGGCGACCUGGGCCAAUAUUGACGCUGAGGUGCGAAAGCGUGGGGAGCAAACAGG